ACUCGAUUUUUGAUAAGAAGAAGGCAAGGAUAAGGACAAAGUCAAUCAAUCACCAACAGUAAUUACUUCAAUCUUUGUCAAUCUACUUAAAUUGUCGAUCAACAUGAAAAUUGUUUAAAUUGAUAUUUGUAAAUCAAUCAAUUUUCUAGUUACUAUGAUUAUAACGUUUCACCUUUCAUAUUGGAUUUUAUCUUUUCGAAAGUUUUCAAAUAUGAGUGUCAAUAAUUAUUGAGACUCCAAGCCGUGCUCUCAAGAUCGUGCUGACACAUCACUAUUAACUUUAUUUAUGCAUAUUUCAAAGAAAAAAAGUUAUGGUUUUGUAUUGCCAGCCCUGCUACUUUUUGUUUUUUUUCAUUUGUAUUAUUUACGAUUUUUUUUUAACAGAAACAUGAGAACUCAUCAUCGUACAAAAUUGUAUGAAAAAAUCUUCAAAUUUAUAAAAGUAAAUUUCAUUGACAGAUUGUGGAUAUGUUAGCAAGAAUAAGGAUAAGAAUGAGUUAAGAAAUUAAAAAGAAAAAAAAUAUAGUGUAAGUAAACAAUGUUUUGGUACAUUUGGUAUUGUUUUCAAAAUAUUUUGAAAAGAAAAAUUUUCAAUCAUCCACCUAAAAAUUAUUUUAUUAUCCAAAAGUUAUGAAAAUUUAAAUAUACUUAAUUUUAUACCCAUUAUUACAAUGUGUAUCAACUGUUUACUAAAAAAAUAAAGUUACUCCUAAAACGUAAUCACCACUACAAUUUUAUGUUCGCUUCUAUUUUGUCACUUUGAACGAAUAACUUUGAGUAAAUGACUGAUAAUUUCUCUUUUAUAAGCUACAAGAAGUUAAAAAGAAAAAAGAAAAAAUAGGAUGAUAAUUUCUCUUUUAUUUGCCUCAGAUGAUUUAUUGUUUCGGGUCUAAGAUUUUAAAUAUUCAACUUAAAAGAUUAAUAUAUUAUAAAUUAAUUAAUUAAAUAAUCAUUAAGCAAAUAAAUUGUGUCCCUGGAUGUCAAUUCCUUUAAUAUUGACGCAACUAUUUUUUUCUGGCAAAUAAUUAUUAAUGCACUUACGGAACUUUGCAUAUCUACACAGCGAUUUUAAAUAUUACUGGUAACUGCUAAGAAAUGUGCGAGAAAGGAGUUGAUGAGAGUAAUAACAGCGACUUGCAAAAGGAAAAGACAGAAUCAUUCACCCCUUUUUGUAUCACGUAUUUGGUUACUGUUUCCCUGUUGACGCAUGUAUAAAUUUGAGUGGUUUUUCUCCACGUUUUUGAGUGGUCUUUCUGCACUUUUUAACAAUAUGAUAAUUGACAGGUUAAUUAUUUUAUAUCUUUUAUAAAAUUACUAUUAAAGGAGAUUUUCUGCACGCAUGUAUAAUAUUUUAUAUCUUUAUUUAUAUUACUAUUAAUUUUAAAUUAAAAUUAUUUAUAUUUAUUCAUAUUCAAAUAUUUAUU
rnacentral:lncRNA from 1 species